CUAUAGAGGAUUGUCAAGCAAAGCCGAUUCAAGAACUUAGAAGAGCUUCACAAGGAGUGGACUGAGGCUGGAGUCAGUGCAUCAAGAGCCACCAUGUACAGACGUGUCCAGGAAAUGGACUACAAGUGUUGCAUUCCUAGUGUCAAGCCACUCCUGAACCAGAGACAACGUCAGAAGCAACUUACCUGGGCAAAGGAGAAAAAGAACUGGACCGUUGCUCAGUGGUCCAAAGUCCCCUCGUCAGAUGAAAAUACAUUUUGCAUUUCAUUUGGAAAUCAAGGUCCAAGAGUCUAGAGGAAGUGGAGAGUGGAGUGGUGAAUCCAAGUUGCUUGAAGUCCAGUGUGAAGUUUCCACAGUCAGUGAUGAUUUGGGGUGCCAUGUCAUCUGCUGAUGUUGGUCCACUGUGUUUUAUCAAGUCCACAGUCAAUGCAGCCGUCUACCAGAAGAUUUAAGAGCACCUCAUGCUUCCAUCUGCUGACAAGCUUUAUGGAGAUGCUGAUUUCCUUUUCCAGCAGGACAUGGCACCUGCCCACAGUGCCAAAGCAACUGGUAACUGGUUUGCUGCCCAUGGUAUUACUGAGGUUGAUAGGCCAGCCAACCCGCCUAACCUAUUGUCAAAAGGAAAAUGAGAUACACCAGACACAACAACACAGACGAGCGGAAGGCCACUAUCAAAGCAUUCUGGGCUUCCAUAACACCUCAGCAGUGCCACAGGCUGAUUGCCUCCAUGCCAUUGAUGCAGUAAAUCAUGCAAAAGGAGCCCCGGCCAGGUAUUGAGUGCAUAAAUUAACAAACUUAGAAAACUUUUGCAGGAGUUUUGAGUAAAUUAACUGAUUACAGCCCUUCUCAGGUUAAUAUUUCUGUAUUAUAAAUAUUUUAUUCUAAUAUUUUGAGAUACUGGAUUUUUGAUUUCCAUGAGCUGUAAGCCGUAAUCAUCAAGAUUGAAACAAAAAAGGCUUGAAAUGUUUCACUAUAUGUGUAAUUAAUCUAGAAUAUAUGAAGUUGAAUUACGGAGAAACCACGAUAUUCAUUUUUUUUUAAAUGCACCUGUAGUUAGACACCAAAGGCAAACAAAGGGUAAGAGAUGUUAGUCCCAGGGCUUUUAAACAGGGAAGGUGUCACAGUCUUCCCUGAGGGCUUUGAUUCCCCAGCUGCUUCCCCUCCGUGUUGCGCUCAGACACCGUAACAAAACUCCUGAGGGCACCAGGGGGCAAUGUCCUCCUGCUGUGUACCUAUGACCGGGUCAGACCACAGGGAAAUAAUGAGAGACCAAUUGCAUGCCUUUCCUUAUUUCUUGUCUUCUAUCAUUACUCAAAAUAACUGUUUUCCCACACAAUACCGUUAUCAAAUUGCCUGGGGCCCGGCCAAUUUGUGCUCUCUUGCCCACUCCUUAUGGAGUUUAUGGCUUAACAAUACAAAUGUAGGCAAAAGCCCAAAAAUGGUCUGGCCUAGUCAUACUAGUACUAUUUAUUUC
ensembl:lncRNA